GCUAUCGAUAGUGGAUCAGUGUCGGAGUCAUUAACGUGAUGUUGGUCUUCGAAUGUGCUGUAUUUUCGAAAUGGCUUUUCACGACCACAGAACCUCGUGGUCGUCCGUGAAACAAAAAGUAAAACGAAAGGGGGAAUAUAAUAAUAACCCUGCCUGCUGCCAAGAAAAUAGAGACCACUUCUGCAGUCACGAAGGGUCGGAACGAGGUCAACCCGCGGCUUUUAUUCAUCCUGUUGUUUUGGCAUUUGAAAAAAAAAAGAAGAAAAAAAAGCCAUUUCAAAAUCGAAGGCUUGUUCCUCGUCGUCGACUUCGUUUUUCUUUUCUUGUUGUCAGAAAUCCCCUCAUGUCUGCCCGUCACUAUCUCGUGUGUUCUAUAUUGAGAAAAGCACGCGGGAUUUGUCUGCACGUUAAGAAACAGAUACGAAGCAAAUAGCUUGCAGGGGCACACAUGUGUUCAUGAAUGAGCGCCAUGAAACGAAACGAUGAUGAUAAUUGGGCGUCAAACCCAAAGUAUUUCCGUAGCUACCGGGAUGCUUUCGUUUCGCCUACGUUUUUCCUUCCAUUCUUCUGAAGCUUUGUGUUUCACAAUUCAAAGAAGAUGUUCUUCCUGAUUAACUUUUCAUCUCGCAA